rnacentral:misc_RNA from 1 species
AAAAGAGGGUUGACAUUUAAUAUAUGAUAAUGAUAUAGAUACAUAUUGCAUUUUCUAUACAGAAAUUCCAGUAUGCAUUCCAAUAUAUUAUGUGAUUAGCAUAAAAUACAGAGAUGUACACUUAAAAACCAACAUUCAAAUGCAAUACCACUAUCAUUGCACAUCCUGGUUUGCACGGUUUUCAGCUCUGGGAGAGUCAGCAUAAACUUGUCCUUGCUCUCUCACAUCUCUAAACAUUGAAAAAAGCGAGUUGA